ensembl:lncRNA
GCGACCGCACAAAAGUUUUUAACAAUGCUGUCAGACCUGACGAGAUCUGUCAACGAACUGCGUGAGGAGGUCAGAGCCAUCCGCAAUACCGGCUCAAAUGAAUCUCUAGAUGCUGGGGUACUCCCUUUGGAUUUGCCCUUAAACAGCAUUGAGGAGCUAAACCAUGCAGAGGCAGCUCUUACGUCGCAAGAGGCAAUUAAGGCAAUGGUGAGACGCUUUGCCUUGAUUGGAGGGACCACACUUGAGGUGCGAGUCCGCCGUGUAAUGGCUUAUGCCAUUACAAAUGAGCUGGCCUCACUACUAAACUGGGCAGGGAAAAAAACAAAGGACCACACGAAACAAAAAAGGGCAUUUAAAGAUACUGCGCUGUGCAGAUGCAUAUUUGAUGGCCUGACGCAGCAGUUAGGGGCAAACUCGAUGUCAGAGUUUCUCUUUGCACAGGCAGUGCAGAAGUGGCUACGGUACGCC